UUGACUUCAUUUGGCCUGGUGCUGGAAUAUGAAGAACAAGGCUUCUAACAGUUCACUACCUGACAACCACGGUAGCUGCCACUCAGUCCGUAUCAUUUUCUGAAGAACUCUAAACCAAAGCUAUUGUUGCUGAGGCUCAUUCGGCUAAGACAGCAUCUCAUUUUGUAGCUCUGGCUGGCUUGGAGCUCCUUAUGUGGACCAUACUGUCACUGAACUCACAGAGAUCCCUCUACUUUCCAAACGUUGGGAUUAAAGCUGUGACCACAUCAUGGGGACCCCCACCAUGAAACCCAGAGUGGCCCCAAGUCUGAAAACCAAGCCUCAUUCAGCUGGUCUACAAGUUGUGGUGACAGCAAGCCAGGUUCCAAAAGUGAGACCAGAUAUGCACGCCAAGAAACACCACAAACAACCUCACCCCAGAUGCCUCCAUCCCACAAACACAGCAAAUGACCAUGACUGCAUGUCUCCUCCAGGAGCCAGCAUCCCCCUAUAGUAUUUACUGAGAAAAGCAACUUAGCCUGUCCAUAAGGUAAGGACUUAAACAGCAAUUAUAAAUAUGCUUGAAGUACUCAAAAGGAUACAUA